ACCUAGGCUUCGGCCUCGGGGACAGCGGCGAACGGGUGAGUAACACGUGGAUAACCUGCCCUCGGCACCGGGAUAGCCCGGGGAAACCCGGAUUAAUACCGGAUGGCCCUUCCGACUCUCGGGUCGGUCGGAAAAGGUAGCUUCGGCCUCCGGCCGAGGAUGGGUCCGCGGCGGAUUAGCUUGUUGGUGGGGUAACGGCCUACCAAGGCUCCGAUCCGUAGCUGGUCUGAGAGGACGAUCAGCCACACUGGGACUGAGACACGGCCCAGACUCCUACGGGAGGCAGCAGUGGGGAAUCUUGCGCAAUGGGCGAAAGCCUGACGCAGCGACGCCGCGUGAGGGAAGAAGGCCUUCGGG
rnacentral:rRNA from 1 species